UUUAUAUCAAUAAGCGGAGGAAAAGAAACCAACAGGGAUUGCCCUAGUAACGGCGAGUGAAGCGGCAACAGCUCAAAUUUGAAAUCUGGCUCUUUCAGAGUCCGAGUUGUAAUUUGCAGAGGGCGCUUUGGCUUUGGCAGCGGUCCAAGUUCCUUGGAACAGGACGUCACAGAGGGUGAGAAUCCCGUACGUGGUCGCUAGCUAUUGCCGUGUAAAGCCCCUUCGACGAGUCGAGUUGUUUGGGAAUGCAGCUCUAAAUGGGAGGUAAAUUUCUUCUAAAGCUAAAUAUUGGCCAGAGACCGAUAGCGCACAAGUAGAGUGAUCGAAAGAUGAAAAGCACUUUGGAAAGAGAGUCAAACAGCACGUGAAAUUGUUGAAAGGGAAGCGCUUGCAGCCAGACUUGCUUGCAGUUGCUCAUCCGGGCUUUUGCCCGGUGCACUCUUCUGCAGGCAGGCCAGCAUCAGUUUGGGCGGUGGGAUAAAGGUCUCUGACACGUUCCUUCCUUCGGGUUGGCCAUAUAGGGGAGACGUCAUACCACCAGCCUGGACUGAGGUCCGCGCAUCUGCUAGGAUGCUGGCGUAAUGGCUGUAAGCGGCCCGUCUUGAAACCACGGAC
rnacentral:rRNA from 1 species